UUAAUUAUCAUGAAAAACGAUUGAAAAUUGCACUAGAAAUUGGUGAUCGGACCGGAGAAGGAGGAGCCUAUGGAAAUCUCGGUAAUGCUUAUCAGUCACUGGAUGACUAUCGAAGAUCCAUUGAGUACCUUGAGAAACAUUUGAAAAUUGCAAUAGAUAUCAGUGAUCGGAGUGGAGAAGGAGCAGCUAAUGCAAAUCUCGGUAUUUGUUACCGGUCACUGGGUGACUAUCGAAAAUCCAUAGAGUACCUUGAGAAACAUUUGAAAAUUGCAA